CCUGGCGGCCAUAGCGCCGUGGAACCACCUGAUCCCAUGCCGAACUCAGAAGUGAAACGCGGUAGCGCCGAUGGUAGUGUGGCAUUCGCC
rnacentral:rRNA from 3 species